rnacentral:rRNA from 1 species
UACAGAGGUCUCAAGCGUUUGUUCGGAUUCAUUGGGCGUAAAGGGUGCGUAGGCGGCGCGGUAAGUCGGGUGUGAAAUCUUGGAGCUUAACUCCGAAACUGCAUUCGAUACUGCCGUGCUUGAGGACUGGAGAGGAGACUGGAAUUUACGGUGUAGCGGUGAAAUGCGUAGAUAUCGUAAGGAACACCUGUGGCGAAAAGCGGCUCACUGGACCACAACUGACGCUGAUGCACGAAAGCUAGGGGAGCAAACAGG